rnacentral:rRNA from 1 species
AUUGAACGCUGGCGGAAUGCUUUACACAUGCAAGUCGAACGGUAGAGGGGGCAACCCCUUGAGAGUGGCGAACGGGUGAGUAAUAUAUCGGAACGUGCCCAGUCGUGGGGAUAACGUAGCGAAAGUUACGCUAAUACCGCAUACGAUCUAAGGAUGAAAGCGGGGGAUCGCAAGACCUCGCGCGAUUGGAGCGGCCGAUAUCAGAUUAGGUAGUUGGUGAGGUAAAGGCUCACCAAGCCAACGAUCUGUAGCUGGUCUGAGAGGACGACCAGCCACACUGGAACUGAGACACGGUCCAGACUCCUACGGGAGGCAGCAGUGGGGAAUUUUGGACAAUGGACGCAAGUCUGAUCCAGCCAUUCCGCGUGCAGGAUGAAGGCCCUCGGGUUGUAAACUGCUUUUGUACGGAACGAAAAGGUUUGUCUUAAUACGAUGAGCUCAUGACGGUACCGUAAGAAUAAGCACCGGCUAACUACGUGCCAGCAGCCGC